rnacentral:rRNA from 1 species
GAUGAACGCUAGCGGCAGGCUUAAUACAUGCAAGUCGAGGGGCAGCAUGAUUGUAGCAAUACGAUUGAUGGCGACCGGCAAACGGGUGCGGAACACGUACACAACCUUCCAACAAGUGGGGGAUAGCCCAGAGAAAUUUGGAUUAAUACCCCGUAACAUAGCGAUGUGGCAUCACAUUGCUAUUAUAGAUUUUUCGCUUGUUGAUGGGUGUGCGGCUGAUUAGAUAGUUGGCGGGGUAACGGCCCACCAAGUCUACGAUCAGUAGCUGAUGUGAAAGCAUGAUCAGCCACACGGGCACUGAGACACGCGCCCGACUCCUACGGGAGGCAGCAGUAAGGAAUAUUGGACAAUGGACGCAAGUCUGAUACAGCCAUGCCGCGUGAAGGAUUAAGGUCCUCUGGAUUGUAAACUUCUUUUAUAAGGGACGAAAAAAGGCUUUUCUAGGUCGUCUGACGGUACCUUAUGAAUAAGCACCGGCUAACUCCGUGCCAGCCGCCGCCGUAAGAC